rnacentral:tRNA from 1 species
UCCAGGGUAGCCUACUGGACAUGGCACCUACCCGGUAAGCAGGUUGUGGGUUCGAUUCCCGCCCCUGGAC